AACGAACACUGGCGGCAUGCCUAACACAUGCAAGUCGAACGAGACCUUCGGGUCUAGUGGCGCACGGGUGCGUAACGCGUGGGAACCUGCCCUUAGGUUCGGAAUGACUCCCCGAAAGGGGUGCUAAUACCGGAUAAUGUCUUCGGACCAAAGAUUUAUCGCCUUUGGAUGGGCCCGCGUUGGAUUAGCUAGUUGGUAGGGUAAAAGCCUACCAAGGCGACGAUCCAUAGCUGGUCUGAGAGGAUGAUCAGCCACACUGGGACUGAGACACGGCCCAGACUCCUACGGGAGGCAGCAGUGGGGAAUAUUGGACAAUGGGCGAAAGCCUGAUCCAGCAAUGCCGCGUGAGUGAUGAAGGCCUUAGGGUUGUAAAGCUCUUUUACCCGGGAUGAUAAUGACAGUACCGGGAGAAUAAGCUCCGGCUAACUCCGUG
rnacentral:rRNA from 1 species